rnacentral:rRNA from 2 species
UGGGGAAUAUUGGGCAAUGGGCGAAAGCCUGACCCAGCGACGCCGCGUGAGGGAAGACGGCCUUCGGGUUGUAAACCUCUGUUGCAGGGGAAGAAGGAAGUGACGGUACCCUGCGAGGAAGCUCCGGCAAACUACGUGCCAGCAGCCGCGGUAAUACGUAGGGAGCGAGCGUUAUCCGGAAUUACUGGGCGUAAAGGGCGCGUAGGCGGAAUGACAAGUCAGCAAGUGAAAGCGUGGGGCUCAACCCCAUGAUGCGGCUGAAACUGUUAUUCUAGAGGCAUGGAGAGGCAAACGGAAUUCCCGGUGUAGCGGUGAAAUGCGUAGAUAUCGGGAAGAACACCAGUGGCGAAGGCGGUUUGCUGGCCAUGAACUGACGCUCAUAGCGCGAAAGCUAGGGUAGCAAACGGG